rnacentral:rRNA from 1 species
AUACGAAGGGGGCUAGCGUUGUUCGGAAUUACUGGGCGUAAAGCGCGUGUAGGCGGAUCGUUAAGUCAGGGGUGAAAGCCCGGGGCUCAACCCCGGAACUGCCCUUGAUACUGGCGAUCUAGAGUCCGGAAGAGGUGGGCGGAAUUCCCGGUGUAGAGGUGAAAUUCGUAGAUAUCGGGAGGAACACCAGUGGCGAAGGCGGCUCACUGGUCCGGUACUGACGCUGAGACGCGAAAGCGUGGGGAGCGAGCAGGAUUAGAAACCCCAGUAGUCC